rnacentral:rRNA from 1 species
AACGAACGCUGGCGGCAGGCUUAACACAUGCAAGUCGAGCGCCCCGCAAGGGGCGCGGCAGACGGGUGAGUAACGCGUGGGAACGUACCUUUUGGUUCGGAACAACUCCGGGAGACUGGAGCUAAUACCGGAUAAGCCCUAACGGGGAAAGAUUUAUCGCCGAAAGAUCGGCCCGCGUCUGAUUAGCUAGUUGGUGUGGUAACAGCUCACCAAGGCGACGAUCAGUAGCUGGUCUGAGAGGAUGAUCAGCCACACUGGGACUGAGACACGGCCCAGACUCCUACGGGAGGCAGCAGUGGGGAAUAUUGGACAAUGGGCGCAAGCCUGAUCCAGCCAUGCCGCGUGAGUGAUGAAGGCCUUAGGGUUGUAAAGCUCUUUUGUCCGGGAAGAUAAUGACUGUACCGGAAGAAUAAGCCCCGGCUAACUUCGUG